rnacentral:rRNA from 1 species
UGAGGAACAUGACCUUCGGCGGGGGAUAGCCGGCCCAAUGGCCGGGUAAUACCGCGUACGACCACAUGGGGACAUCCCUGAGUGGUGAAAGCAGCAAUGCGCCGAUGGAGUGCCUCGCGGCCUAUCAGCUAGUUGGUGUGGGUAAUGGCCCACAAGGCGACGACGGGUAGCCGGCCUGAGAGGGUGACCGGCCACACUGGGACUGAGACACGGCCCAGACUCCUACGGGAGCAG